CCUACGGGUGGCAGCAGUGGGGAAUAUUGCACAAUGGGGGAAACUCUGAUCCAGCGACGCCGCGUGCGUGAAGACGGAUUUCGUUAUUUAAAGCUCUUUUAGUAGGGAAGUAAAUGACGGUACCUGAGUAUGAAUCCACGUCUAACUACGUGCAAGCAGCCGCGGUAAUACGGAGGGAGCAAGGGUUAUCCGGAUUUACUGGGUGUAAAGGGAGCGUAGACGGUAGUACAAGUCUGGAGUGAAAGGCGGGGGCUCAACCCCCGAACUGCUCUUGAAACUGUACGGCUGGAGUGCAGGAGAGGUAGGUGGAAUGCCUAGUGUAGCGGUGAAAUGCGUAGAUAUUAGGCGGAACACCAGUGGCGAAGGCAGCUUAC
rnacentral:rRNA from 1 species